GGGCUGCCCAUGCGGCAGGUCUUCGGGGCCUGCUCCUCGGUCCGACGUAAACCACGUGAUGAAGUGAUGCUUUCAGAGGAAUUCUGGAGAGAGAAAAAAACGUCUCAAGGAAGCUUGACUGAAUGGCGGAUACCAUCUCUCCCCCGUCAUCCGUGUAAAAUAAUGCUGCGUUCUUUGGGGGUCACUGUGACCCAUCAGAAGGCUCUAUGCCCAGCAUGGAGCUCAAUGCAGGACUUGAACUCAGAACCAUGAGAUAAGACGUGAGCUGAGACCAAGUGUUGGAAUCUCAACCAACUGAACCACCAGGGUGACCCAUUGUCCUGGAUUCCCUGGGACCAAGGAUUUCCCAGGAUGCAGAACAUUUGGGGCUAAAAUUGGGACAACUGUCACCCUACUUUCAUCCUGGAGAGCUUUUGUUGCAUUUGAAACUUCUCAUACUUCUCUCUCAUGACUCCCCCAUCAAAAAUUUGGUAACAAAAGGGGACAGGACUGUUUUGCCACUUGCAAGCAUGGCUAAUGGUGUAUUGUCUGCAGAUGUGGUGGGUCUGCAGAAGCCCUGGUUCAAAUAAAAUCGG